rnacentral:rRNA from 1 species
CGCGCAGGUGGUUGAUUAAGUCUGAUGUGAAAGCCCACGGCUUAACCGUGGAGGGUCAUUGGAAACUGGUCAACUUGAGUGCAGAAGAGGGAAGUGGAAUUCCAUGUGUAGCGGUGAAAUGCGUAGAGAUAUGGAGGAACACCAGUGGCGAAGGCGGCUUCCUGGUCUGUAACUGACACUGAGGCGCGAAAGCGUGGGAGCAAACA